CCAAACUACAGAAGUUGGAACUUAGAACGUGCUUAUGGUGCCUUCAUGGCUAUAAAACUCCCAAGUCUCCAACAUUUUGAAGUUGACAAGUUGUACAAGUCAUCGUAUUCCCGACGCGGUACCGGAAUUCUUACACACCAUAGAAGUUCACCAUUUGGGGUCAAAAUCAAGAAACAAAGGAAAUGGAUGCGUUGAAAACAAACAAAAAAGAAUGAUAAACACCAAUAACCAACCAAUGAUUACCAAGCCAUAUCAAGUAAAAAUAGCUCUAGUACAGAAACGAAACGUGAUAUUAAUACUCAAAAGGCAAAGCGAGAAGGGAAAGGGUUCAUCAGUUCAUGUCCAUCGACUCGCAUGAAAAAUGCAGCUUCUCAAACUCAGAGUUGCUGUCCUUCUCCCACCUCCAAAUGUAACCUUCAAAACCAAGUGCAUUUCUUCUUCUUCUUCUUCUUCUUCUUCUUCUUCUCUGCAAUACUCAGCUUGGUCUGGUCUAGAGACCUGGAGAGAGAGCCCAAUCAACGAAGAUCGAAGAUGGGGACAGAAUGGUCCAGAGCCACAGCCCUCAAUAAGAGAUGAAAACGACCCUCCAUUAACGGCGUCGUCAACUUUAUCUCUGGCGGAGCUUGGUACUCUGGUUCUGAAGACCAGUGACCCUCUCGCCAAGUCGAGGCUUUCCCAUGUCGUCUACUCCACAUGGCGCCUUCAUAACCUCCCUAUCGGCGCCGCCCAACCGCCUUCUCGCCCCUCUCGCCCUCCCAAACCCCACCUGGUAUCCCCAAAGGAGAUUCCCGCUCCCAAAAACUCAGGGUUGCCUCUGAAUGCCUAUAUGCUUCAUAAUCUUGCUCAUGUGGAGCUCAAUGCCAUUGAUUUGGCGUGGGACACUGUUGUUCGUUUCUCACCUUUUAGUGAGAUUCUUGGGGAGGGAUUCUUUGCGGAUUUCGCUCAUGUUGCCGAUGACGAGAGUCGCCAUUUCGCUUGGUGCUCUCAGAGACUUGCCGAGCUUGGUUACAAAUAUGGAGAUAUAGCUGCUCAUAAUUUGCUUUGGAGGGAGUGUGAGAAAACGUCUGAUAAUGUUGCUGCGCGUUUGGCUGCAAUUCCUCUAGUCCAGGAGGCGAGAGGUCUUGAUGCUGGGCCUAGACUCGUGCAAAGAUUGGUUGGCUUUGGUGACCUGCGAACGUCUAAUAUUGUAGCUAGAAUUGCUGAUGAAGAAGUUGCACAUGUAGCUGUUGGUGUCCAUUGGUUUGUCGAUGUAUGUCGGAGAAUGGAUCGCGAUCCAGGCGUCGCUUUUAAAGACUUGUUAAAAGAGUAUAAUGUAGAGUUGAAAGGCCCUUUCAAUUAUUCAGCUCGUGAUAUAGCCGGCAUUCCACGAGAUUGGUAUGAUGCGUCAUCUGCAAACAAAGAGGACAAAAAUGAGCAUCUUUCCGCGGUUUAUGACAGGCUUGCUUCCAUCAUAUCCUUGGAGAGUGAGAAUUCAAGUUUGAAUAGGCCUUCUGAAUGAAUUUUCUGCUCGAAAUCAGCAAUAUUGUGCUCGAAGAUUGCUCUCUGGACUUUCAUGGUUCAAUUUUGUCAUGAAGCAGCUUUUCUCUUGGUUUGCAAUGACAAUCAACAGAAAAUGUUUUGAUGGGAAUUUCCCAAGUUGCUUUGCGUGGAGAGUUGGUGUUCCCGUAGUUGGUUCCGUUGCACGUGCGGAUGGUAGAGCAUUGGUGGAGUCGCAUGGUUUUAGUUCUCUUUCUCAUGCUCGAGUUGGCUCCUGUUUGGAGUGUGAUGCCCCGCUUGGAAUGUGAUGCUUGGAUGUGUCGGCUACUAGAAACUUUGGUUUGAAGGGGAGCUCAAUGGACACACACACAUAAGGAGGAGAUUAUUAAGAAAAUUGUAUGUAUGUGUUGUCUCACAUAGAAAAUGAGUGGAGAUGUGAAAUAGUUUAUAUAUAUACAUGGAAAGACUAGGACCCAAUAAGUUAAUCGUUUAGGUUAAGAUGGACUUUUAAAGUGUGUUAGGUCAAUUUUACAUGCACGUGGACCAAGACCCAAAUUUGUUUGUUUUUUUUUCUUUUUUUU